rnacentral:sRNA from 1 species
AUGCGUAAGGCAUAGUUAUUCCUCCCGGAACGGAACCGGUAAAGUGAGCAUUCUUCAAGAAAGGGAUGGUGUAUUACAUCCCUAUAGCAUCAAUCGUAUCAAAGUUAAUCAUUUGAUUAGCCAGGCUAAUUUGCAACAUCAAAUUAGCUGUUUCGAUUAGUUGGCAUCGUAAAAAGCACGUAUAAAACCUUUUGAUACUAUUGCAAAGUUUAAACUAAACAAAAUCCGCAAAUAAGUUGAUAUGAAUACACAUAUCAGCUUUUUU